AGGUAAAAAUGUAUCCAAAACCUUUUACUUCUUAAAAAGGAUGACUUUAUUAUUGUGUAAUGUAAGAAAGACUAUAACUGUAUUGCCAGUCUAAUUAACUUUAAUGAGUGCCUAUCGAAACAUUACACUGUUGGUUGGCCAAAAAAUA